rnacentral:ribozyme from 1 species
UACAGAUAUCAGUUGGACUCAAUUUUUUCAAUUUGAAUUUCAAUUCUUUCAAUUUAAUUUAACUUUUUUUCUCCCUUUCAAUUGGGACUUUGAAAACAUUUGCGGAGGGGAAGAUUUGAAG